rnacentral:tRNA from 1 species
GGGGGCGUGGCGAAAUUGGUAGACGCAGCGGACUUAAAAUCCGUAGCCGGUAAAACGGUGUGGGGGUUCAAGUCCCCCUGCCCCCA